UACGGAGGGGGCUAGCGUUGUUCGGAAUUACUGGGCGUAAAGCGCACGUAGGCGGCUUUUGUAAGUUUAGAGGUGAAAGCCCAGGGCUUAACCCUGGAAUUGCCUUUAAGACUGCAUCGCUAGAAUCGUGGAGAGGUGAGUGGAAUUCCCGAGUGUAGAGGUGAAAAUUCGUAGAUAUUCGGAAGAAACACCAGUGGCGAAGGCGACUCACUGGACACGUAUUGACGCUGAGGUGCGAA
rnacentral:rRNA from 1 species